rnacentral:sRNA from 1 species
UUGACAGCAGUGAAGAUUGAAAUUCUCAAUUUACCCGUGGAGCAGGAACAAUAGAGUGCAGACAAUAAUCCAUCAAUAUAGCACAACCCUGACCAGGAGGAAUGACCACUUCUAAGAAUAAGAGAGAAGUGUUGGCAAUGACUUUAUUCAAUCCUUGACUUUG